AAUGUACAUAGGCUUGAGAGAGAAGAAAAAGAGUAAAGGGACAGUCAAUGUAAUAUAAAUAGAUUAAAGAAGUAAAGAUAAUAAAAUAAAUAUUAAUAAGUAAAAAGUAAUAGAGUAAGAAAAGUAAGAAAAAAGGCUCUUCUUUUGUUUCAACAAAGGAGGAGAUCCUGUGGAAUCAUUAGAGACUAAUAUGGUUUUAUGGAACAAGAGCCACUGAAAGGUUGCCAUGAAUACCCCCCCAGAAAUUACUCCACCCAACUACUGACUUUGAUGAAUCUAGCACACAAGAUAUACCAUGAAAGACUUGAUAAACAGUGCCCUAGUCAAUAUGAAGUAGUCUAGAGAACUAUGCCCAAAUUUCCAAAUAUUGUUUAUAAUCAUUUCUUUACAUUUAAAUGGGGAUAUGCUAUAAAGAUUUGCAUGGAUAUGGAUCUUGGUUUAUUGAUACAAAUUUAAGGUCAAUUUUGUUAUACUGUGUAUAUAUAUUUUUCUGCUCUUGAUUAAGGUAUUGUGAUUGUGAAGCUCAUUUAAAAAUGUAAUGUAUAAUUAAGAAAUGUAGGUAAAUAGAGAGUAAUCUAUAAUAGUCAAGCUUCUAAUCAUGUUAUUUAGGUUUCCUAGACAUAUAGAGAUAUAAUUAAACUAUAUAGGUGAUUUUCAAACUUUUCAAAGACCUACAGAAUAUGGCAUUUAAAUGUUUUAAGAACUUAGGACUUUUCAUUACAAUGAGACACAUAUGCUCCUGGCAGCACCAAUCUUCUUCAAGAGGAAGAUGAAUGGGCAUUGGAGAGGCUCCUUAUGGAGUUGAUUAGCCAUUUGGGGAAGAAACUGCUCUUUCCUGGACUGAUUGAUGGUAUGCUAUGUGAACUGGACCCACAGAGAAAUGACUGCUGAACUUGUCUAAAGCAGGGCAGAACAGAGGUAGGCAGAGAAGACAGAACUGAAUGCUGGGAGAAAGAAGGGCAGAGUAGAAAGCAGUCAUGGAGCUGCUGCUGGAGACAGAAGUGCUGAACACACCAUGAAGGCCACAACUUCAUGGUGAUCCGCAGAUUAAUGGAGGUGCGUUACACAUGCAUAUCAUCAUGUGUGUGGAGAUUGGAGCACAAAUUAUGUUCUCUCCUUCUAUCAGGUGGGUUCCAGGGAUGGAACUCAUAACACCUACUUGGAAGCAGGAACUGCUAACCACCAAGCUGCCUCAUCAACCCCCAUGGACCCAUCCUGCCUCUCAUUCUACCCUCAUUCACUCCUCAGAAGGCGUAAGGCAUCUCUUGGAGAGUCAAGAAGUCAAGCAUAUCAAGUUGAGCCUGGACCAGUCCGCUCCCCCUGUAUCCAGGCUAUUUGGUUCUUUACAUAAUCUCUAUUUUUUAUUUUUAAUUUAAAAAACCUAUAUUUUAUUAUUAUACACACCCAAUCCAAGUUCCCACUCCCUCCACCCCUCCCAUUUCCCCCACUAAACCCCCAACCCCACAUCCACUCCUCAGACAGGGUAAGGCACAUUGCUUUGGGGAAGGUCCAAGGCCAUCCCUUCUAUAUCUAGACUGAGCAAGGUAUCCACCUAAAGAGAAAAGGUUCCCAAAAGCCAGUACAAGUAGUAGGGAUAAAUUAUGGUGCCCAUUCCAGUGGUCCCGCAGUCUUCUCCAGCCAUGCAACUGUCAGCCACAUUCAGAGGGACUAAUUUUGCCCUAUGCUUUUUCCUUCCUAGUCUGGCUGAUGUUGGUGAGCUCCUGUUAGCUCAGGUAGACUGUUUUAGUGGGUAUACCCAUCAUGGUCUUGAGCUCUUUGCUAAUAUUCUCGCUCCUCCCACUUUUAAACUUGACUUUGGGAGCUCAGUCCAGUGCUCCAAUGUGGGUCUCUGCCUCUGUUUACAUCAGUUGCUAGAUGAAUGUUCUAUGGUGAUAUUUAAGAUAUUCAACAGUCUGACUCCAGGGCAAGGCCAGUUUGGGCACUCUCUCCUCUAUUGCUUAGGGUCUUAGCUGUGGUCAUCCUUGUGGAUUCCUGAGAAUUUCUCUAGAGCCGGUUUUCUUGCAAACCCCACAAUGGCUCCCUCAAUCAAGAUAUCUCUUUACUUGCUCUCAUAUCUGUCUUCCUCCAUCUCUACUAUCUUAUUCCCUCAAGUUCUCGUCAACCCUCCCCUUCUUCCCUCCUUAACCACUUCUCGCUUUCUUUUUUCCUCCACCCCUAUGUUCCCUCUUUUGUCAGGUGAUCUUCUCUAUUUUGACUUUCCAUGUGGAACUAUCUAUGUUUUUCUUAGGGCUCACUACAUUACUUAGCUUAUCUAGGAUCAUGAACUAUAGGCUCAAUAUCCUUUGUUUAUAGCUAAUAUUCACUUAUGAGUGAGUACAUACCAUAUUCAUCUUUUUGCAUCUGGGUUACCUCACUCUAGAUGGUGUUUUCUAGUUUCAUCCAUUUGCAUGAAAAUUUAAGAUGUCAUUUUUUUUUUACCACUGAGUAGUACUCUAAUGUGUAAAUUGCCACAUUUUCUUUAUCCAUUCUUCAGUUGAGGGACAUCUAGGUUGUUUCCAGGUACUGGAUAUUAUAAACAAU